rnacentral:misc_RNA from 1 species
CGAAAUUGUGACAGCAUCAGCGGUCUUGCUGCUGCUGCACCCCAUUAUUAUCGAUAAUUUAAACUGAUGGAUUUUCCUCCAACUUCUCAGAGUUAUCGGAGAAGUUGGUGAUAUCGAUAAAUAAGAUGAGAAAGGUCUUCAAUGAAAAGGCGUCGGAGACCUUUUUUUGUAGAUUGGAUAUCCCCGAAGGGACACCGAAGGCGUUGACGGCGACUACCGUCGAGAGAAGAGAAAAAAAAUCCCGACGACUUUUGAACGGAAAAGCGCGUUUGCUUUUGAUUUGAGGUGGGGUUUCG